AAGUCGUAACAAGGUUUCCGUAGGUGAACCUGCGGAAGGAUCAUUAAAGAUUCGGGUCGCAAGAUCUAUCUUUUCUCCAGCUGUGCGCUUCGGCUGCACGCUGUUGAAAUCCAACCUUCACACCUGUGAACCUUUCGGGGGCGCUCUGCGCUUCCGCUUUACAUGUAACAACUUAAGUUUAGAAUGUUUUAAUACUAUAAAGUAACAACUUUCAACAACGGAUCUCUUGGCUCUC
rnacentral:misc_RNA from 1 species